GGCUUAUGCUGUGCCUGUUACAUUCUGUGAUGACUCUGGAUAACUUUACUGAUCGCAGUCGGCCUUGUGUGUCGGCGACGGAUCUUUCAAAUGUCUGCCCUAUCAAUUUGUUGGUAGGUGAUUUGCCUACCAUGAUGAUAACGGGUAACGGGGAAUCAGGGUUCGAUUCCGGAGAGGGAGCCUGAGAAAUGGCUACCACAUCCAAGGACGGCAGCAGGCGCGAAAAUUACCCACUCCCAGCACGGGGAGGUAGUGACGAAAAAUACGGAUACGGGACUCAAUUGAGGCUCCGUAAUUCGAAUGAGUACAAUUUAAAUCCUUUAACGAGGACCAAUUGGAGGGCAAGUCUGGUGCCAGCAGCCGCGGUAACUCCAGCUCCAAAAGCGUAUAUUAAAGUUGCUGCAGUUAAAAAGCUCGUAGUUGGAUCUGGGUAGUGCGAUCGCAUGCUGUUGCUUGUUCACGGUCUUGGUUACGAUCAGGGCAGUGGUCAGCUCGGCGUAGUGGUUGUGCAACCUUUCAGCCGUGUCUGUGUUUUAUUAAACAGGUGUCGAUGGGUUAAUGAGUAUUGUAUCUUAUUGACCUGUUGGCAUGCUUUCGGAUGCCUUUAAACGGGUGUCGGGGGCGGACGGCAUCUUUACUUUGAACAAAUUUGAGUGCUCAAAGCAGGCCUAUGCGCCUGAAAAUUCUUGCAUGGAAUAAUGAAAUAGGACUUCGGUUCUAUUUUGUUGGUUUUCGGAUCCGAAGUAAUGGUUAAGAGGGACAGACGGGGGCAUUUGUAUGGCGGUGUUAGAGGUGAAAUUCUGGGAUCGCCGCCAGACAAACUACAGCGAAAGCAUUUGCCAAGAAUGUUUUCAUUGAUCAGGAGCGAAAGUCAGAGUUUCGAAGACGAUCAGAUACCGUCGUAGUUCUGACCAUAAACGAUGCCAACUGACGAUCCGCGUUGGUUCUAUAAUUGACAUCGGGGGCAGUCCCCGGGAAACCUUUAAGUCUUUGGGCUCCGGGGGGAGUAUGGUUGCAAAGCUGAAACUUAAAGGAAUUGACGGAAGGGCACCACCAGGAGUGGAGCCUGCGGUUUAAUUCGACUCAACACGGGAAAACUCACCCGGCCCGGACACUGUGAGGAUUGACAGAUUGAAAGCUCUUUCUUGAUUCGGUGGUUGGUGGUGCAUGGCCGUUCUUAGUUGGUGGAGCGAUUUGUCUGGUUAAUU
rnacentral:rRNA from 1 species